rnacentral:rRNA from 1 species
UACGGGGGGGGCAAGCGUUGUUCGGAAUUACUGGGCGUAAAGGGCUCGCAGGCGGCCAACUAAGUCAUACGUGAAAUCCCUCGGCUUAACCGGGGAACUGCGUCUGAUACUGGAUGGCUUGAGUUCGGGAGAGGGAUGCGGAAUUCCAGGUGUAGCGGUGAAAUGCGUAGAUAUCUGGAGGAACACCGGUGGCGAAGGCGGCAUCCUGGACCGAUACUGACGCUGAUGAGCGAAAGCCAGGGGAGCAAACGGG